rnacentral:misc_RNA from 1 species
AACGCACAUUGCGCCCGCCAGUAUUCUGGCGGGCAUGCCUGUCCGAGCGUCAUUUCAACCCUCGAGCCCCCCCGCGGGCUCGGCGUUGGGGAUCGGCCCUGGUGGCGCCCUCGGGCGCCCGGCGGCCGUCCCCGAAAUCCAGUGGCGGUCCCGCCGCGGCUCCCUUGCGCAGUAACGCACCUCGCACCGGAGCGGCGACGGCGGCUCGCCGUGAAACCCCCAACUUUCGUAUGGUUGACCUCGGAUCAGGUAGGACUACCCGCUGAACUUAA